GGCCGCUCGACCCCGGGUUGACGGGAGGCGGCGGCCGUCGAGGGUCGCGGCCCCGCCCGCCCUGCCUUUGAGGCCCUCAGUCCCCUCACCAGUCGCCGGAGGGCCGCUCCGAGCCGCGUUCACUUCAACGCGCUGCGGACGGUGCUGGGCUCGGAGGUCACCCCUUCGCUGUCGCUGGUUGCUGGUGCAACGAUCCCGCGCAAGCGCACUAUUGACCUGACCGGGCUGAGUUGGAAGUUCACGUAGAGUGCGGACCUGGCGAUAGGGUCACCUGCUAUGCUCAACUAACCUGCCUCCCCUUUUGGAUGUCCACACGUGGGCCGCUUCCUGCCACUCAGAGGAAAGAGCGCCAUUCCCAGGGCCACCUGGAGACGGGUCAGGGCCCGAGUAGGUUACCUGAGGGAGGCCGAUCGCCCCAAUCCGCUCCCAAGGUAGUGUCUUCCUAUACGGUGAGGCCAGACCGGAUGUCCACUAUCUUGAUUAAUCUUCCCCACAGAUGAAUGGCAUGCCCAAGAGCACUAACAGGGACAGCGGUACUCCUGUUCUGCUGGCCAGCUGCCUCAGGUUGAGACUAGGGUGAGUGGAGAAGGCUCCCAACACUGCAGAGCAAGGGCGUCCAACCCGCGAAUGCACGGGACGCCUAGGAACGCGGCUCAAUCCCAAAACGUAAACCUGCUGGGGAAUUAGCUCAGUUGGCAGACUAGCCAAGGCCGGGAGUUUAUUUACCAGCACCACAUAAAACAGAUUGGUGGUACGCAGACUUGAAAAUCCAAGCACACCAAAAGUGGACGCAGGAGGAUCAGAAUUCAGUCAUCCCUUGCCUCCGCAAUUCCUAGCCAGUAGACUACCUGACACUGUGUGAUGGUUAGUUUUGUCAGUUCGGUAGGAUGUAACAUCACCUGAGAAGACAGUCUCAACUAGGAAUUACAUGGAUUGGGUUGACCUGUGGGCAAACCUGUGAGACAUUUUCACCAUUUCAUGGAUUGGGUUCUGCACUGUACAAGUGUUGAGAGGCGACUUAGAGAAAGCAAGAGGCAUAUCCAUUCACUUUGUUCAUGGCUGGAUGUAGGUUAACUAGCUGCCUUAAGUUCCUGCUGCUGUGACUCCUCCGCAAUAGCAGACUAUAACCUAGAGUUGUAUGCUAAAAUAAAAUCUUGCUCCGCUUA